rnacentral:lncRNA from 1 species
UCAUAUGUAUAAAACAAGUAUCCUAUACUAGUGUGCCUUCCUUCCUCAGGUGUGGGGCUCCAUCGCUAUGCAUUUCGAUUUUGAUUUUAAAUCUAACACAUCUGAAAAUAACAGUAAUGAAUAUCAAUAGUCUUAGUAAGAAAAUGUAGAACUUAAGACUACAAUAUGAAAAAUAAGAAAUUUUUCACCCCAACACUCCUCACUUAGACCCUCACUCCCACCUAUCCGCUCUCCCAUCUCUACCAUAAGAUGACCAUUUCCCCAAAGCUUCGCUACCUAUAGUCACUCAAUUGCACUAACUACUUACUCCUACUAACACCGAAAUACGCCUACCACACCCGUAGCUACAGUCCUGAAGGCCUACAUACACUCAUAGUUCACUUAUGUCCACUACUCAACCUCAGUAUCGGAACCAAUCAAUCUUUACUGACCACACAUCCAUACCUUCCACUUUUCUAGCCUAGAGAGGCCACCCACACACAUCACUCAUUCGGUUAUCCCUUAAUAGCCCUGGGGCAAUGGCCUGUAAAUACCCCAUCUACACACCUGAGUCCAUACCAACACCGGCAAAUGCUCGACCUAGAAAUGCUACACCCACACAUUCACCCAACUAACUUUCCAUGUCUAACCUGGGACAAAGGCUUGUGAAGACCACACAUACCAACAUUCUAGUCCACAUAUACGACUUCCUCUUACACAACUCUCGGCUAGUGAAGGCCCUCUACUUAUUCAUCACCCACUUGUCACCACAACUAUAGAGGCCACACACAUUCACACACGCACCAUAUCACAUAAAUUCACCUAUUCAGUCCCUAUCAUGCUUUGUCACUCUCUGCCCUACACACACACCAGAUGCCACCCUGAAAUGCUCACUUACACUGUCACACUCUGCCUGUAAUGACCACACGCGCCCGCUGACUGUGUCAUGCUCUUUUAGAGCCAUACACAUACUCACACAUAAAACCAAAUCACAUAAAUUCAACUACUCAGUUACAUACAAUUCUCGGCCAAUGUCUGCCACACACGCACAUACUAGACGCCCUAAGCCACUCGCUCACACAGUCGCACUCGACUUAUAAUGGUCACACAUGCACACCGACCGCGCCACAACUCCUUAUUCGCUAUAUAACACUCAAUCCGUCUCUUCUACUCAGAUCCUGUGAUUUUGCCCUAGCCUACACAACUUCCGCUCAACCUAUACUCUCACCCGACCACUUAUACUCUAUCCACAUAAAACCUCCUCAUAAUAGAGAUUACUACAUCCACACUUGACUUAAUAACCUCAUCCACAUCUCUCUGCCCUCAGUUCGGAUCACCUCAUUCAAUCGAUUAUGGGAAAAGGAAAAAAAUAGAAAUAGAAUUGAUCUUGCUUUGCCAUACCGAGUCANNNNNNNNNNNNNNNNNNNNNNNNNNNNNNNNNNNAAAAAAAUUGGAUAAUCAUAUAACAAUAACAUCUCACGUGAAAAAUAUUUUCAUAAUCAUUAAUAAUUAACUCAAUUUUUAUGAAACUUUUACAUGCCAUUUUAUGUAGCAUAUAUGAUAAUUUAUUCCAAUAGACCAUUAGAAUAACAAAUUUCCUCUUUUAAAUAUAUGAAAAUGUAUAAAAUAAUAUCUAUCCUUCUAUAUGUGACUAUCAUACCAUCAAUGAGAUUCGAAUGGUUGUUAUAAUAAUAUAUAGAGUAUAUAUUAAUUAUUUCAAUUAAAUAUAGUCUAGUUUUAUAAUACAUAAAUUAAAAUAGUAUUGAUUACAAUUAUAGUAAAUAAAUAAAAAAUACUAUAUACGAAUGUUUAUGCUUAAUUAUAAGUUUAAAUAUAUAUUUAUCAUAAAAAAUAUAAUAUGAGUUAACAUAUUAUUAAUUGAGAUAAUUUUCCAUAAUGAUUAAUAAAAUUAAUAAAAUAUACUAUAAAUUGAUGUUGAACUAUGAUUUUGAAUACAUAAAUUAAAAAAUAAUUAUGAAAAAAAUUAAUGUUUUGUUCUAGACGUAAAUGAUUGAAUUAAAUAUCACAUGUUGUUAAUAUAUUUAUAAUAAUUAGAUAACAUUACUAAGAUAUACAGUUAAAAUGAAUAAAUUAAAAACAAUUAAAUUAAUUUUAUAUGAAAUAUAUAUACGUAAACAAUAUCCCAAAAUGCACACGGUUUUUUCUUAAUUUUUUAAAGAUAAAUUGUUUAUUUAUUAUAACAUAUAUUAUAAAAAUUAAAUAUUAUUUACAUACAUUUGUAAAUAUAAAAAUAAAAGUAAUAAAAUAAUUUAUAUAUUAAAAUAUAUAAAAUAAAAACUAAUUUAUAAUUGAUUACCAAUUAUUCAUUAUACGAUUCUAAAUAUAAAAAAAUUGUCUAUACAGCAGUUAUCUAUUCAAAAUUUUUAAAUAUAGAAUUAAAAAUUUAUAUAUUAUAUAAUUAAUUUUUAAAAAUUAUGAUUCGUGUGCACCGUAGAACAAAAAUUGGCUUAUAAUUUUGAAAAUAAAUAAUAUUUCAUUAUAAUUUUUAAAAAUAAUUAACAUGUAAUGAUAAUAUAGUAGUGUAUAUAUGAAAA